CUGAAGUAUCUUAAGAUUAACUUGGUUUCACUGCCGUUCUUUUUUGUUUGUUUGUUUGUUUGUUUGUUUUUGUUGUUGGACUCAUAAAACGAUCAGAGUUAAACUGAUACAGUUUAUUUGUUAUAAGUUUAUUGGUCUUGAGUUUGGCUGCAAUAUUUUUGCUGUAAUUAUUAUGAGCAAGCUAAAUAAGCUUCUUUUUAUUUAUUUUUUUAUUCUUUUUUGAAUAAUUAGUUAUUUAAAUGGAGCAAGUAAAUUUCUAAUAAGCUCCCUUUCAAUGCCCAUAUGUGAAACGUUUAUUUAUUUUAUUUUAUUUAUUUUUUACCACAUUGGUUUUAUUGUUUUAGGCUAUUGUAUUCUUAUUAUUAUUCAAGUUCACAAUUUACUUACUCAGGGGUUGCAGUUCACAUCUUAUAUAGGACUCUCUUAAGUGACCAGGUUCCCAAUUCAACUUUUCUUCAUUUAUUUGGUCUAAGCUUUUUCUUAUUUGUCACUUUUAAUUUUUGUUACUAUCCUUAUGUCUCUGUCUGUUAUUUCUUUAAAUGCAAGAGGUUUAAGAAACAAUGUUAAACGUAAAGCUAUUUUUUUGUUUUGCAAGCAGUUCAACUCCGAUUUCUGUUUUAUACAAGAGUCUCAUUCAACAGAACAAGAAAAAACAUUUUGGAGAUCGCAAUGGGGAGAUGAUCUGUGGAUGUCCCAUGGUACAGAGCGUGCUGCUGGUGUUUGCAUACUUAAAGGAAGAUUUAAUGUAGCCGGAAACACGUGACCUCCACAAUCGGCAGAAAUACGUUCCUGCGUGCAUCAUCGACUGUGGAAACCUUGCAAGUGGAUCGUAAAGAUGCACAUAUCAAUUUGGAAUGCUGCCUCCAAGCCAGAAUUGCAGGAAUGCACCACGUGUUGCAGAAGACUCUUUCACUGCCCUCUGUGCCCCACUUUCAGCCCUACUGUCAGGGCAAAGAUUGAGGAGCAAAUAAAUGGACACAUUAAAAAUGCUUUGCCUUUCAAAGACAAAAUGAUAUGCCGGUGCACUUUCACUGCCCUGUCUGUAACAUGAAAAUCAUACAGCGUGGGAAUAUGGCAAGGCAAAUAUUGUCAUGUCAGCGUUUAGGACUGCUCCCCACUGAACUCUCCGUGGAGCCCCGCCUCUCUCCCGCUGCACUCUCCGAGGAGCCUCGUCUCCCUCCCUCUGCACUCUCUGUGGAGCCACAUCUCCCUCUCGAUGUCUCCAGCAUCUAAACCAUUUUCUGAAUCUUUGGUAGAACAUUCAUGUGCUCUACCCUCUGUGCUCUAGCCUCUGUGCUAAAUGAAACUGUGGCUUGUGGAAAGUCCAUGGAAAUGAAACGCCCUCACUGUGGUCUUAGUCUUCUUACAAAAAAAACUUCAAGGCUCGCAUGAUGAGGAGGCAUUCAAACAGAUCAAUAGAUGUUUGCCUGGCCUGUCAUCUGCAGUGUUUUUGUGUAGAGGGACUUCUUCCUUUGUUUUUCAGUUUGCAGAGGACAUGGAGCUCUUUUUAAAAGCAUGUGCUGACGAGCAGGGACUAUGGGUCAAUGCGAUGUUUGACAUUUAAUGGACAGAUGAAGGCACUGGCUGUUUGUUUGUGUUUUUUAUGUGUUGUUUGUUUUUCAGUGUACAGAAUUCCAGUUAAGCUUAUUAUAAAAUGUUGUUCACUUGUUUCCAUGUCCAUACUAAUAGUAAAAAAUUUAAGUGUAAAUGUAACAGCAUGGUUUAUACUUGUAACUUCAAAGUAAAAAGCUUAUUGUUGAUAUUAACAUUAAUGUAUUACCCCGUAAUUAAUAAUAUUUUUAUACAUUUUACGCAUUAACCCUCUGGGCUCUAUCCUGUCCAUUUGUGGCCACUUCACUUCUUCUUUUUUGACUACUACACUGCAGUGGACCAAAAGAAUGACACAGGUUUGAUCUUAAGGAUCUAAUAGUUGUGUGUGUUUGUGCAUGACAUUGCAACGCAAAUAUGUAUUUGCAAGAUAGACUGGGAAUAAAUUAUGACGCAUCAAAUAUUA